UAUGAAGUGCAAUUUGAGGGAGCUGCAAUCAAGUAGCGCGCACGUUUUCACACACGCUCAUCUGGUGGUGGUGAUAAGUGUCUAACAAAAUGCAGUGACGAUAAUUUUGAUUGCGUAUUUUAAACUCGGUGACAAAUUUGUUAUUGCGGCCGUUGAACUUGUUUGCUAUUCUCAUGCAUAUUCAAAAAUAUAUAAACUUUUCUAUACAACUAAUUGGAGAUUAUUAGCUUCUAUUAGUAGAGAAUUCGACGUAGAAGCAGUAGGACUGAUUAGGCAAUGAAAAGGGUACAUACCCUAGAACAUUUGCACACAACUAACAAUGUUGCAAAAGUAAAUUAUAUAAACUGCUUAUGUAAGAUCAGUCCAGGGGUGCUCAAACAGCUUCUAAAAAUCUAACACUGAUCGAAAUUUACAUAUGCAAGGUCAAAAACGGGCCAAAAAACUAACUACACGAUAUGUACAGUGCGAAGCCAACCAGAGGAGUCAUCAUAAUGGAUGUGUGAAGUCUGGUAGAAGAUGUUACACACUUUGGGGGAAACAAAUCGCGAAAUUUCAACAUAAUAUAUACAUUAAUAAUAAUAUCAAUAUA